CAAAUACUCCCUCCGUCCGGAAUUACUUGUCGCGGAAAUGGAUGUAUCUAGAACUAAAUUAUGUCUAGAUACAUCUAUUCCUCCGACAAGUAUUUCCGGACGGAGGGAGUAGGAA
rnacentral:pre_miRNA from 1 species